AUGUGCCACGCGUACACCGCGGUUCCUGUGCGCCGUCCGCACCCGCCUGACGACUGCUCGCUACAUUUUGUUAGCC
rnacentral:sRNA from 1 species